GGGAUUGGAUGAUGACAAGAAGUUCCUGUGUGUGUUUGUGACUGAUCUGCAGUGACUUACAGCUCAAGCACUGAGAGCCUCAACAGAGAACUGAUCUGAUCUGAUUCAACAUGGACACAUGCUUCAUACUGAUUCUCAUUGUGGGGACAGGUUUGGUGACUGGAGACAACAUUGAGCCAGAUAAAGAGAGAGAAAAAAACACUAAAGAAACAGAAACUGUCAAGCUGAGCUGCUCAUAUAGUGCAAAUAGUCAAAAUGUUCUGCUUUACUGGUACAGACAAUAUCCAAACAAAGAACCUCAGUAUUUAUUACGCAAAGGAGCACGAUCAUGGAGUGGUUAUUAUGAACACACUUCUGAUCAUCAGUUUCAGUCGACUACAUCAGAUUCAUCCACUGAACUCACUAUUACUGAUGUACGUCUGUCAGAUUCAGCUCUCUAUUAUUGUGCUCUAAGAGUUGGAGCCCAGUGAUACAAAACAUGAAACACGUCGUACAAAAACCUGAAGCUCUUUUCACUUUGAACCGAUCUAGUGAAAACCACAAUCAAAACCACAAUCUAUCCAGCCCCAAAUGUAAUAAAAUAUGUGCUAACACCUGUGUGAGGCUGAAUUAGGUCUUUGUUAUAAGGCAGAAAUUAUAAAUUUCAGAAAAGAAACAUUAAUAACAUGACCAGAUAUCAUAUUCCACAUGUUCAAACCACUUUUUUUUAUGGCCAUAUAAUCUGCAUUCUCUGCAGAAACAUUAAUUUGUUAAACUGCUUUCUCUCUUUUUUAGAUAUAAUGCAGUUUUUAUAAUUCCUUUAAAAUUAAUAUAUUAACUUUGGUAACACUGUAUUUUAG